AACGAACGCUGGCGGCAUGCCUAACACAUGCAAGUCGAACGAAGGCUUCGGCCUUAGUGGCGCACGGGUGCGUAACACGUGGGAAUCUGCCCUUAGGUUCGGAAUAACAGUUAGAAAUGACUGCUAAUACCGGAUGAUGACGUAAGUCCAAAGAUUUAUCGCCUGAGGAUGAGCCCGCGUAGGAUUAGCUAGUUGGUGUGGUAAAGGCGCACCAAGGCGACGAUCCUUAGCUGGUCUGAGAGGAUGAUCAGCCACACUGGGACUGAGACACGGCCCAGACUCCUACGGGAGGCAGCAGUGGGGAAUAUUGGACAAUGGGCGCAAGCCUGAUCCAGCAAUGCCGCGUGAGUGAUGAAGGCCUUAGGGUUGUAAAGCUCUUUUACCCGUGAUGAUAAUGACAGUAGCGGGAGAAUAAGCCCCGGCUAACUCCGUG
rnacentral:rRNA from 1 species